rnacentral:rRNA from 1 species
AGAGUUUGAUUAUGGCUCAGGAUGAACGCUGGCGGCGUGCCUAAUACAUGCAAGUCGAACGAGAUAGCAAUAUCGAGUGGCGAACGGGUGAGUAACACGUAGGUAACCUGCCUACAGUUGGGAUACCCUGGCGAAAGCUAGGCUAAUACCGAAUAAUUGGAUUGGAGGCAUCUCCGAUCUACUAAAAGGGGACCUUUAAAGCCUCGCUGAAUGAUGGACCUGCGGCGCAUUAGCUAGUUGGUGAGAUAAUAGCCCACCAAGGCGAGGAUGCGUAGCCGACCUGAGAGGGUGAACGGCCACACUGGAACUGAGACACGGUCCAGACUCCUACGGGAGGCAGCAGUAGGGUAGUUUUCGGCAAUGGGGGCAACCCUGACCGAGCAACGCCGCGUGAAUGAUGAAGGUCUUCGGAUUGUAAAGUUCUGUUAUAAGGGAAAAAUGAUAGAGUGAGGAAAUGCUCUCUAUUUGAUGGUACCUUAUUAGAAAGCCACGGCUAACUACGUGCCAGCCGCCGC